rnacentral:lncRNA from 1 species
CCCCACUACACUGUAAGCUCCUUGGAGGCUGUGGUGGUCUGUUACCUCUUUUUAUCUUCUCAGAAUUUAACAUAGUCCUUGUCAUACAAGAAUUGCUUUCUAAUGUUUGAUUGAUUGAUCAAUCUUGUCAACUGUGAAUUUUAGAUUUUCUCCAUUUUGCUUAGUCUUAGAAAUUCUAGCAACCAGGAAUGUAUAUACCCCACUUAAGCAUUAACUGUGAGGAGGAUGGUCUAUGACUACAUGUGCUAGCAUGUGACAAAUCAGAAACAACUGACAGACCCCCCUGGGCUGUCCUAAGUCAAGCUUAAGCUACCAUUGGUACAUGUGAGAUGCAGGAAGUGAUGUAAAGAAUGGUCUAUAUAUUUCGUGUCAUUUCCUCUCUCACUCUCUCUCAUGGAGACGUUGCUCUCUGUCUUGCUUGUGUGGCUUGUGGUAGCAUGGUUUACGUCUUGGCGGUUUGUGAGUGAGGCAAGGCAAUUGAUUUGCAAGGCUGGAAGGCAGCAGCUGCUGCCAAUCACACUAAUGAAGAUGCCAGCUCCUCUCCCACUCUAAGUUUGCCCACUUGCAGCAAAUAAAACCAAGGUAAACACAGUUUCUUGGCUGAUG